CUGCUUCAGCAGCACAUAUACUAAAAUUGGAACAAUACACAGAAGAUUAGCGUGACCCCUGUGCAAAGAUGACAAACAAAUUAAUGAAGCGUUAAAAAAAUAU
ensembl:snRNA U6 U6 spliceosomal RNA